UACGUAGGGAGGAAGAGUCAAGAGGAAAGAAGGGGAGUAAAGCGUGCGCAGGCGGUUAUGCAAGACAGAUGUGAAAUCCCCGGGCUCAACCUGGGAACUGCAUUUGUGACUGCAUGGCUAGAGUACGGUAGAGGGGGAUGGAAUUCCGCGUGUAGCAGUGAAAUGCGUAGAUAUGCGGAGGAACACCGAUGGCGAAGGCAAUCCCCUGGACCUGUACUGACGCUCAUGCACGAAAGCGUGGGGAGCAAACAGG
rnacentral:rRNA from 1 species